UUCUUCAUCAGACUUCAGAUCUUUUUUUCCCCCCUCUCCUUUUAUUUUCUUUUAAUGGAUCCAAUCAUCGAAUAUAUCCAACAAAAAGAAUCUUAAACAAACUUUUUGUCCUUUUUGUAUUCUCAAUUAUAAUCCUACAAAUUGGUUAGUCUGAACACCAAGAAAUGAAGCAAGGUGGAAGAAAAAUAUUUCGCACCUCCAUAUUUAUUUCUAAAGAAUCCUCAGUAUUAUAAUGGUGAAUUUACAAAUCCUAAAUCAUAGGCCUUAACUAAAAGCCCCCAUACGUGGACGGGGAAUUGGUCCGCCAAUCUUAAAUUAGGUGCUCGUAAACCAGCCCGGACAUAUGAAUCAUCGAAAAAUAAUGUUAAAUUUACUUGGUAAAAGACAUAUUUUGGAAAAAAGAGAAAGAAAACAAAAGAGCACAGGCAGGCCCAAACCAAGAGUUCAGCGGUUAUGGGUUGAGCUAAAAAACGUAUCGGCCCAGUUUGUUCGCGCAAAUCAGGGCUUCAAGUUUGCAAGCCCUAGACCUAUAUAAACAGCAAAUGAGCUCACCUCCUCCGAUUCUCACAAAAGAUCACGUUUCAUCCGAAGCAUUUCCUGCGCACCGCGACGUUCAAGGGAGAGAAAGUUGAAGAAAGCUCCGUGUCACGAUGAGGGCUAAGUGGAAGAAGAAGCGUAUGAGGAGGCUGAAAAGGAAGCGCCGAAAGAUGAGACAGAGAUCCAAGUAGACGCUGCAUUUCAAAAAUGUUAGGUGCUUCUCCUGAAAUGCUUUCAUUGCUGUCGACAUGGGUUGUGCUGGAGGUGGUGGGGAAUUUGAAGGGGAAGCUUGCAUUGUCUAGUGCAGUUUCUAAAUCUAGGUUGGGUUUUGUUGCAUCGCUAAGAGUUUAAAAUCGAACACUAAUAAGUUAACUUAUUUCUUGUAACCGUACUAUUUUCUAUCUUCAGCUGGAUGACUUUUUGUCUUAGAUACUUUAAUUUGAACUCUAUAUUGAUUGCUUUUGAUGAAUGUGAGUGGUAACCAUUUGGACA